UUUUUGGUUUUCAGGCUUUUUUUUGAAAGAAUCGAAACUGACUUGACGUUACCGAUGCUAGUUUACUUGCGCCCACGGUUUCAGAUUUUUGCUUCUCCUGAGGCACUAAACCCUCAGUUGGCUGUUUGUUUUUCUACCUUUGUCUAUAAUAAAUAUAUUAAUUACUUAUGCAGCUAAUUUAAUUUGAAUUAUUGUACAAUCAAGAAUUAAUUAUUUACUUUUACCAUAUAAUUUUCACAUUACCAUGUGCUUCAUUUCAUUUGUUUUUAGAUAAUUACCAUGUGCUUCAUGGACUUGGCAGUUGGCACACAGUAAGUCAGUGACAUAGCUCAGAUCUAACCUGCCAUGAUAAUUUUUUUUAAUGGGCAAUGGUGAGAAGAUUUGUGGAUUUGUAUGCAAAUUUUUACUUCUUGCUUGAGUUUGCAGAUUACCGUUGCAUCCACUUGACCAAAAUAGAUGAGAAAUGAUAGGACAUAAUGCAAGGUAGAAUUGAAUAUUAACAUUAGUUGCUGUAUAGUGGAGCGCUGUUAAAAUUAAAGAGACUUUCAUUUCAAAUUCCCUACUCCAAACAUUACUUAAAAAAAAAUGAAGGCUGGCUUUGGCUUAUAUCACAUCAUUCAUGAAUUUAGAUUUUACUGUUUUUGGAAAAUCGAGAGAAAUUCAGUGAAAUCCAACGAAGAAGCUUGUCAACAGCUGAGCAAACAUUUUUCUUUGGCGAGAAUAGAAUGGUCAGACAGAGCCGGCUGAAUUGCCUAGCAGCCAAGCUAUUAUUUUUGUGAGGAAAGAAUGGUCAGAGUGAAAAGUAGUGAGGCGACCUUACUGACAAGUCGAAUAUUACAAAUAGGAAAAAGCUUUAAACAUGCUUCUGGAUUUGGAUGGAAUCAAUUUGUUCCAUGAUGAAGGGGCUUCAGGGUUGUUUUUUCUCCUUUUAAUCAUCAAAUUUGUGCUAUUCAACAAAUUCUAUGACCUUUCACCCAAGUAAUAAAGUUCUAGAUUCUUGACAAAUGGAUUAGGAUGUACUGGUUUGCCAGAUGUAUAAGAAGAUAAGUAUAAGUCUUAUUUUAAAA